rnacentral:lncRNA from 1 species
UCGGCGGGCGUGGACCUCCAAGAGGCUGGCCCAGCCCUAGCGACCACCCACCGGCGGCCCGGAUAUCUCUGCGCGGCAGCCCCCGCGGUCGAUCAAUCUCAGUCCCGCACUGCCGUCCCGCCCCGCCCUGUGCCCGCCAAUCCACGACGCCAUAAUCCCCCGCCGUGUCCCUCCCUUCCUCCCCAUUGGUUGUGACCGCACGUCAGCCCGACUCAGCCUGCCAAUCGCAGGACCCAGAGGGCCCUCUCCCCCGCCCGCUCAGUGUAAUUCGAGUUCCCUGUCCAUCGACUCCAAGUCCUCUCUCCUGCGCCGCAUGCUGCCUCGCGCUCCCUUUCCUUCCCCCUCUACCCCCUUCCGCGAUUUACUGUUUCCUCGCGCCCAACAGAAAUGGGCGACCGCAAGUCUUACUCUCGCCGGCGUUACAAAGAAAGGAAGGAGGAGACCUGAACAGUACAUCCGGAGAAUCCAGCAAAGCAUACUACGGCAUGAACGUGCAAGUGGACAGAAUUAAAACACAUGCCAGAAACACUAAUGGAUUCUAAACAAGAUGCAGUUUCAUUUCCUGAGCCUAUACGUGAUGUUUUUAACUGUUCUCCAGUUAAUAUGUCUCCAUUUCCAGAAAUCUAACAGGAGAAUCUCUGACUGCUUAACAGAUCACCUAAGCUUGCGAUUUGUGCAAUCCUUUCUAGAGUAAGGGCUCCCCGGCUGCUCCCCGGCCACUGUGUACCCAAAGCAGCGGCUGAAAUAGCCCGGAGUCCAACAGCUCAGCGUCAAGCAGCUCGUGGUUUGUACUUACAUCAUUUUUUUUUUCAGAGCAAGAGUGAAAGUUUAUUAAAAAGCGUUAGAACAGUAAGGAAAGGAAAGGAGAGAAAAUAAGGAAAGUACAACUUGGAAGAGGGCCAAGCGGGCGACUUGAGAAAUCAAGUGCCUGUACUUACAUCAUUCUUAACCCUUUCGCUCCUGGAGGGGGCUCAGCGGGAUCAGGGGGCCCCUGAACUUCGGAACACGCAGGACCUGGGUGUGAGAGAAGAGUCCCAAAGCUUGGCGUGAGCAAUGCACUCGCGGAGGGAGAGAGCCCGGGGCUUGCGGGGGGCUCAUCACCCGCUCGUAGACAACGGGCCCCCGCAAUCCCUGCGGGCUCCGCCGCUGCUCUCACCGCUCAAAACGGCAGGUGCAAAAAGCAUUUGGGAGCCGCUUGCCAGCGCGCGGAGGCAAACGCAGCCGCCGGUCUUGACUGCCAUCGCCCAAGGGGUUCCUCUGGGCUCUCCCGCGAGCCAACAGCCGACCUCUCUCCAGCCUAGUCUGGGAAACUCCAGCCAACCCAGGAUCCCAUUUUGUAGUCCCGGGCAGACCCGAAACCCCUGAAAGAACUCCACUCCAGAAGACGCCAGAACAAGUUCCCACGAAUUUCAUGGGCGCCCUUCACAUGAAAACCUCAGCUCCCCUAUCCUCAAGGAACGGGGAAGGGCGCCGGGGAGGGACUUCGGUGGCCAGCUGUCCCUGGGUCGUGGGCGCUGUUUGCUCUGCGGAGCGCCAGCCCUGCACACAGCGGGUGCGGGAAGCGUUGAUGGGAGGCUGGAGGGCGGGGUGAGCGUAAACUAGGAUCUAGCCGGUUCCAGGCGUGGAGAAUCAAAUGUGGUCCUAGAUCUGUAAGUUGCGAAAAGGGGCUUUUGGGAGCGUCAGAGCUUUCUCACUCCGGUCCCCCGCCGCCUUGAGGCUGGCAGAUUUAUACCCCACAGGUGGAUGGAGACCUAAACAAAACAGUCCCGGCCGCUGCCUGCCGCUCGCCCCCCACGUCCCCCGGGCCCACCGCAAACUUCAACAAAAUAAACAACUCACCACAGGCAUUCCCUUGUCUGCAGCGCGACGCUUGCCAGCUGGGAAAAUAAGCCGCAAGCCACGCGGCCGAGGC